rnacentral:rRNA from 1 species
GACGAACGCUGGCGGCGUGCUUAACACAUGCAAGUCGAACGGAAAGGCCCCCUUGUGGGGUACUCGAGUGGCGAACGGGUGAGUAACACGUGAGUAACCUACCCUUGACUUUGGGAUAACUUCGGGAAACUGGGGCUAAUACCGGAUAGGAGCUCCUGCUGCAUGGGGGGGGUUGGAAAGUUUCGGCGGUUGGGGAUGGACUCGCGGCUUAUCAGCUUGUUGGUGGGGUAGUGGCUCACCAAGGCUUUGACGGGUAGCCGGCCUGAGAGGGUGACAGGCCACAUUGGGACUGAGAGACGGCCCAGACUCCUACGGGAGGCAGCAGUGGGGAAUAUUGCACAAUGGGCGGAAGCCUGAUGCAGCAACGCCGCGUGCGGGAUGACGGCCUUCGGGUUGUAAACCGCUUUCGCCUGUGACGAAGCGUGAGUGACGGUAAUGGGUAAAGAAGCACCGGCUAACUACGUG